rnacentral:rRNA from 1 species
UACGGAGGGAGCUAGCGUUGUCCGGAAUUAUUGGGCGUAAAGAGCUCGUAGGCGGUUUGUCGCGUCUGCUGUGAAAACCCGAGGCUCAACCUCGGGCCUGCAGUGGGUACGGGCAGACUAGAGUGCGGUAGGGGAGAUUGGAAUUCCUGGUGUAGCGGUGGAAUGCGCAGAUAUCAGGAGGAACACCAAUGGCGAAGGCAGAUCUCUGGGCCGUAACUGACGCUGGAGGAGCGAAAGCGUGGGGAGCGAACGG